ACCUGCUCCAACCUCAUCUACUGCAUGUUCUGUUUCCCGAUGUGGCCUCCUGUACAUCGGCAAGACAAUGUGUAGACUGGGCGACCAUUUCGCCAAACACUUGAGCUCGGUCCGCCAAGACCUGCUGGAUCUCCCGGUUUUUAACCAUUCCCUUCCCGUU